GACGAACGCUGGCGGCGUGCUUAACACAUGCAAGUCGAACGCUGAAGCUCAGCUUUUGUUGGGUGGAUGAGCGGCGAACGGGUGAGUAACACGUGAGUAGCCUGCCCCCUUCUUUGGGAUAACGCCCGGAAACGGGUGCUAAUACUGGAUAUUCACUGGUCUUCGCAUGGGGGUUGGUGGAAAGGGUUUUUCUGGUGGGGGAUGGGCUCGCGGCCUAUCAGCUUGUUGGUGGGGUGAUGGCCUACCAAGGCUUUGACGGGUAGCCGGCCUGAGAGGGUGACCGGUCACAUUGGGACUGAGAUACGGCCCAGACUCCUACGGGAGGCAGCAGUGGGGAAUACUGCACAAUGGGCGCAAGCCUGAUGCAGCGACGCCGCGUGAGGGAUGGAGGCCUUCGGGUUGUGAACCUCUUUCGCUCAUGGUCAAGCCGCAACAAUGGUUGUGGUGAGGGUAGUGGGUAAAGAAGCGCCGGCUAACUACGUG
rnacentral:rRNA from 1 species